rnacentral:rRNA from 1 species
CCUACGGGUGGCAGCAGUGGGGAAUAUUGGACAAUGGGCGCAAGCCUGAUCCAGCCAUGCCGCGUGAGUGAUGAAGGCCUUAGGGUUGUAAAGCUCUUUUAUCCGGGACGAUAAUGACGGUACCGGAGGAAGCCCCGGCUAACUACGUGCCAGCAGCCGCGGUAAUACGUAGGGGGCGAGCGUUAUCCGGAAUCACUGGGCGUAAAGGGUGCGUAGGCGGCCCUGCAAGUCAGGAGUUAAAUCCCUCGGCUCAACCGAGGUCAGCUCUUGAAACUGUAGGGCUUGAGUGCAGGAGAGGAGAGCGGAAUUCCUAGUGUAGCGGUGAAAUGCGUAGAUAUUAGGAGGAACACCAGUGGCGAAGGCGGCUCUCUGGACUGCAACUGACGCUGAGGCACGAAAGCGUGGGGAGCGAACAGGAUUAGAUACCCUGGUAGUC